rnacentral:rRNA from 1 species
CCUACGGGUGGCAGCAGUGGGGAAUAUUGCGCAAUGGGGGAAACCCUGACGCAGCAACGCCGCGUGCAGGAAGAAGGUCUUCGGAUUGUAAACUGUUGUCGCAGGGGAAGAAGACAGUGACGGUACCCUGUGAGAAAGUCACGGCUAACUACGUGCCAGCAGCCGCGGUAAUACGUAGGUGACAAGCGUUGUCCGGAUUUAUUGGGGUUAAAGGGUGCGUAGGCGGUCGGAUAAGUUAGAGGUGAAAUCCAGAGGCUCAACUUCGGAAUUGCCGCUGAUACUGUUCGGCUAGAGAGUAGUUGCGGUAGGCGGAAUGUAUGGUGUAGCGGUGAAAUGCUUAGAGAUCAUACAGAACACCGAUUGCGAAGGCAGCUUACCAAGCUACUUCUGACGUUGAGGCACGAAAGCGUGGGGAGCAAACAGGAUUAGAUACCCGGGUAGUC